AAAAUUCAGCCUCCCUAGGAACAAAAAAACCUGAUUCUGACUUCAGCCUGAAAAUUGUGUGUGGCAUUUGUCGGGGCCGAUUUAGACCUGAGCUGAAUUCUGUGUAAUUUCGCCAUUUGAAGUGUGGUUCGCUGGUUCUUGGCAGUAAAUGACUCUUCAAGCACUUGAAGAGCUGAGAUCACGAGACAACCACAUAACCAAGUGGCAAAAAGAGACAAGCCGGCUGAGGGGAACAGACACACAGAAGCUGUUUUGCAUUUGGCAGAGCAAGGAAGAAAAAGUGACCACCAUAGAAGUGGAAAAAUUAAGAAAGCAG